UUUAAGGCCCUAAAAGCCUUAAAUACGUCCCCAUAAUAUGAGAAUUAAGAAAGAGCUAAUUAAAAUAACGAUUGAAAAUAUAGUAGAAAAACAAGUUCAAAUGUGUAUGAAGGAAAACUAAGGGAGGGGGGAUGAAAAAAGUUAAAAGCGCAUGACUUCAGAAUGUUAAAUUAAAAGGUGGGUGAGAAGAUGACGGUAAAAGCUCAGGAUUAGACUGAUUAUAAAUAAGCGCUUUGCCCAAAAACCUCAGCGACACUCAUCUGAUCUUAAGGGGAUCCAUCCUAGAGGCGAGAACUGUUUAUUAAAUGUCAAUUCUGUCAUUUGGGAUUUUUAAAACCCUCCUCAACCGCAGACCACGCAAAUAAAAUUAAAGCUUUUAAAUACCACGGACCAGAGCCAUGAGAGCUUUAUAAAUAAGUUGAAAAAUCUGAUCCCUGAAGGCCACAGGCAGCCAUUGUUUAACCCUUUAUAUUUAAUUUUAUUUCCCACGCAGCUCAGAGCAGCAGCAGCUUGUAGACGAGACGUUCCUGUUUUAGGGGGCAGCAGAUAACAGAGCCUCGCAGGAUGAAGGAAAUAAAAGCAGGACUUAAAGUUUCACACCUCCCACACAACAAACCUGCGAAACUGGCCUGUUUCGUGUUCAGGCCUUUCAAAAUCCAAAGUUCUCGUUUCCUGAUCCACUAUCAGCUCAUCCUGAUAACCUGUACGUUUCAAGUUGAACAAAUGCAGCUUCCUUAAGUUUAAACAGCACGAAAUCUUGGCUUUCAAGCCCUGUAGUAAAAAAAAAAGAUUAAUGUGAAAUAAUUAGUCUUUUUAUUAUUUAGAGACUUGAUGUUACUGGAUAGCCUCAAACUUAAAACCAAAACAUCAUAAGCCAUUUCCAGCUGUUCAAUGAUGGCUUCCUGGAACAAGUUUGCUGCUUUAAAUGUCAUUAAAUCAUUAACGGCAAAAACUGCCGACUCGGUUUACUCAACAUGUCAAAGGUGAACAGUAUAUGCAGCUUUUAUAGAGCUCUGAUAACCAGGCGCCGCGUUAAAGAGCCACGCUUAUUGACGCUGUAAAUGCUUAAAUAUUUCCUGGGAUGAAAUCCUCGUUACAUUUAACAAACAAUGGAGAGCAGCGGCCUCAGAGCCAGCCAGGCCAUCCUAGAUGCAGAGCUUUAAGCUGUCAAUGCCGGGCUUUCCUUUGAGUGAAGGCGGAUGUUGAUGGUGUUAAUUGGGGUUCUCCACUCUGAGCUGCCUGUGAUUUAGAUGAUGAUGGAUGAGCAGCUGACGGACGUGUGGGAGACUGAAGGCCCGGCCCACACUGUGUGCAGGUAGCAGCGGUAUGCCAGGUAUGUAAACAGUGUUGCAGCCAUAUUGCUGCAGAGCUGCAGGAAACGGAGCUCUAACCCCAUUAGGACUUUUUCCUGUCAUGAUCGUGAACUACAGGCUGCACUAAAAUGUGGUUGAACCGCUCUUAUCUCCGCUUACGUAGUUUCUGCAAACUUUCGCUGCAUUCAUUUAAAAUGCUGCAUGAAGUCUUUGACUUCCUCAAUUAGCAUGUUGGCGUCUAAACAGGCGCUCGGAAACCUUUUCAAUAUAAACUGCUGCUUUUUGUGAGGGUCGUAUUUCUUCUUUUUCUGGAUUCCUAUAGGUUACUGUGGGGUCAAAAAUCUUUUAUCCCUGACAAGGCUUAAAUAGGCGCUGAUUCGUUGUAAGCCAUGCAAACAAUUAGUUAUAUAGUAAUUUAAGUUUACACGCUCAUUCGUUGCCUCUGCUGUGGAUAUUUUUUUAUGUUGAGUUUUUAGGAAAAGCUUAUUGCAUUUUUUUCUCUAACUGCACAGGUUUGUUGUCCUUCAUGUUGAAUUCAGGUGUUUAAUAAUUUUUGUAAUAAAACUACAAUGACCAGAAAUAAUACUACAAUCACCAUCCAUAAAACUACAAUGGCCAGAAAUAAAGCUACAAUGAUCAGAAAUAAAACUACACUAACCAGAAAUAAAGCUACAAUGACCAGAAAUAAAACUACAAUAACCAGAAAUAAAGCUACAACGAUCAGAAAGGAAACUACAAUAACCAGAAAUAAAACUACAAUAACCAGAAAUAAAGCUACAAUGACCAGAAAUAAAACUACAAUGAUCAGAAAGGAAACUACAAUGACCAGAAAUAAAACUACACUAACGAGAAAUAAAACUACAAUGACCAGAAAUACAGCUACAAUAAGCAGAACUGAAACUACAAUAAGCAGAAAUAAAACUACAAUAAGCAGAAAUAAAGCUACACUGACCAGAAAUAAAACUACAAUAAGCAGAAAUAAAGCUACAACGAUCAGAAAGGAAACUACAAUGACCAGAAAUAAAAGUACAAUAACCAGAAUUAAAACUACAAUGACCAGAAAUAAAACUACAAUUGACCAGGAAUAAAACUACAAUUGACCAGAACUGAAACAGCAAUGACCAGAAAUAAAACUACAAUGACCAGAAAUAAAACUACAAUUGACCAGAACUGAAACAGCAAUGACCAAAAAAUAAAACUUCAAUGACCAGAAAUAAAACUACAAUGGCCAGAAAUAAAACUACAAUAACCAGAAAUAAAGCUACAAUGAUCAGAAAGGAAACUACAAUGACCAGAAAUAAAACUACACUGACCAGAAAUAAAACUACAAUAACCAGAAAUAAAGCUACAACGAUCAGAAAGGAAACUACAAUGACCAGAAAUAAAAAUACAAUGACUAGAAAUAAAACUACAAUAACCAGAAAUAAAGCUACAAUGACCAGAAAUAAAACUACACUAACCAGAAAUAAAACUACAAUGACCAGAAAUACAGCUACAAUAACCAGAACUGAAACUACAAUGACCAGAAAUAAAAAUACAAUAACCAGAAAUAAAGCUACAAUGACCAGAAAUAAAACUACAAUUGACCAGAACUGAAACAGCAAUGACCAGAAAUAAAACUACAAUGACCAGGAAUAAAACUACAAUGACCAGAACUGAAACAGCAAUGACCAAAAAAUAAAACUUCAAUGACCAGAAAUAAAACUACAAUGGCCAGAAAUAAAACUACAAUAACCAGAAAUAAAGCUACAAUAACCAGAAAUAAAGCUACAAUGAUCAGAAAGGAAACUACAAUGACCAGAAAUAAAAGUAAAAUAACCGGAUAUAAAACUACAAUAACCAGAAAUAAAGCUACAUUGACCAGAAAUAAAACUACAACGACUAGAAAGGAAACUACAAUAACCAGAAAUAAACCUAAACUGACUAGAAAGGAAACUAGAAUAACCAGAAAUAAAGCUACAAUGACCAGAAAUAAAUCUACAAUAACCAGAAAUAAAGCUACAAUGACCAGAAAUAAAACUACAAUGAUCAGAAAAGAAACUACAAUGACCAGAAAUAAAAGUACAAUAACCAGAAAUAAAACUACAAUGACCAGAAAUAAAGCUACAAUGACCAGAAAUAAAACUACAAUGACCAGAACUGAAAUAGCAAUGACCAAAAAAUAAAUCUACAAUGACCAGAAAUAAAACUACAAUGAUUAGAAAGGAAACUACAAUGACCAGAAAUAAAGCUACAAUAACCAGAAAUAAAGCUACAAUGACCAGAAAUAAAACUACAAUGAUCAGAAAAGAAACUACAAUAACCAGAAAUAAAACUACAACGAUCAGAAAGGAAACUACAAUGAUUAGAGACAUUUUCAAACAAACCCUCCCAACAAUGCAGUCAAAACUGACUUUUCUGCUCAGUAUAGGGAGUUAAAAUCAAAAUGCUUUAGCUAUGUUAUCUAAAGUUUUAUAGUUUUUAAUAUUUGUCAUUCACAUGGGUCCUUAAUCUUAUAAGGUCUUAAAUUUGCAUCUAUGAGUCCUGAUGAAGCGACGCAGUUACAAGAAACAAACAUAGUUCCUAGCACCAAUAAUUUCAGUCGUCAUGGAAAUUUGUUGUAGCUAUUUCAUGAAAACUUGGCAAAACAUCUGCUGAAGGCUUUGCUUUUGAAUUAUUUCUAUUUUUUUUUUUUUUUACUUUUUAAGACUCUUUUCAGGUCUUUGUGUGUUUUUGUUUUUGUCCAAGAUGAUGAUGCGGGCCAACAGAACAACACGAGGCUUCUGUGACGGAGGCUGCGGAGACUCGGCUGUUUGUGGAGGACUAAACUGACCAAAAUCAAGAGAGAAUACAGAAAUAAAGAAUGAACACGAGAGUAUCCUGCCGGCUGGGACUAACCAUUAAUUAAUUUCCUGAGUGUUUCAGGUCAAGAAAGAGAAACACAUCUUCACUGAUGAGGAGAACAAAUAAAUCCACGCAUGCCUUCAGUUCGAGGUAAUCCUAAAACGGCGACCAGCUGCACCGGUGAGUACAAGGCAAGUACCGUUUAAAUCUUCACACUAUUUAUGUAUCCACUUAAAUUAUAUUUACCUUUCAUUGUUGUGCAUAAGCUGUGAUUUGUGCUUGAAUAAAGGCCAUUUUGUUGGGAAAA